rnacentral:rRNA from 1 species
UAGGGAAUCUUCCGCAAUGGACGCAAGUCUGACGGAGCAACGCCGCGUGAGUGAAGAAGGAUUUCGGUUCGUAAAACUCUGUUGUUAGAGAAGAACAGCGCAUAGAGUAACUGUUAUGCGUGUGACGGUAUCUAACCAGAAAGCCACGGCUAACUACGUGCCAGCAGCCGCGGUAAUACGUAGGUGGCAAGCGUUGUCCGGAUUUAUUGGGCGUAAAGCGAGCGCAGGCGGUCAAUUAAGUCUGAUGUGAAAGCCCCCGGCUCAACCGGGGAGGGUCAUUGGAAACUGGUUGACUUGAGUGCAGAAGAGGAGAGUGGAAUUCCAUGUGUAGCGGUGAAAUGCGUAGAUAUAUGGAGGAACACCAGUGGCGAAGGCGACUCUCUGGUUUGUAACUGACGCUGAGGUUCGAAAGCGUGGGUAGCAAACAGG